rnacentral:rRNA from 1 species
GAAGUUAACGCGAUAAGUCGACCGCCUGGGGAGUACGGCCGCAAGGUUAAAACUCAAAUGAAUUGACGGGGGCCCGCACAAGCGGUGGAGCAUGUGGUUUAAUUCGAUGCAACGCGAAGAACCUUACCUACUCUUGACAUCCUGCGAACUUGUGAGAGAUCACUUGGUGCCUUCGGGAGCGCAGAGACAGGUGCUGCAUGGCUGUCGUCAGCUCGUGUUGUGAAAUGUUGGGUUAAGUCCCGUAACGAGCGCAACCCUUGUCCUUAUUUGCCAGCGGGUAAUGCCGGGAACUCUAAGGAGACUGCCGGUGACAAACCGGAGGAAGGUGGGGACGACGUCAAGUCAUCAUGGCCCUUACGAGUAGGGCUACACACGUGCUACAAUGGCCGGUACAAAGGGUUGCGAGCUCGCGAGAGUCAGCUAAUCCCGAAAAGCCGGUCUCAGUCCGGAUCGGAGUCUGCAACUCGACUCCGUGAAGUCGGAAUCGCUAGUAAUCGUGAAUCAGAAUGUCACGGUGAAUACGUUCCCGGGCCUUGUACACACCGCCCGU